AACUAACAGCAAAUCCAGAGAAUAAAGAAACGAUAAAGUCUAAGAAUAAAUCAUGGAUUACUUAUGUUGUUACCGCCAGAGAAUUGAGAUAGUUCCAAGACUGAACUCAACCUUAGCGAUAAACAUAAACUAACAGCAAAUCCAGAGAUAAACUAACAGUUCCAGGAAUACAUCUAUCUAUUUUGAUCCUUAUUAGAUUAAAAGAAAGAAAUGAAGAUGCAAUGCAAAUCCAGAGAGUUUAAAAUCAAUUUUGAUCGGUGACAAGAUGACACAGCAAGAAGCAAACACGAAAAACGAGCAAGAUCGAAAGAGAGAGUGAGAGAGUGAUAAACCUGCAGAAAGGCAUCAUCGAGUUCACGAAAGCUGGAUUCCGCUGAAGAAGGAGAAGCAGUUUUAAGAAGCUCCGGCGAUGGAGCAGUCUCCGAUGACGAAUCUUGGCAAACCAUGGCUUGGUUUUCCCGCCAAACAGAGAGAGAUGAAUUGCAGUUUGCAAAACGAAAAGAAAGACACGACAACCUAAACAAAGAAGAUAGGAUUGGACAAAAAGUGAAGUGCAGGUGAGCAGGUCACAUAAGAC